UUCGGAGGGUGCAAGCGUUAUCCGGAUUCACUGGGUUUAAAGGGUGCGUAGGCGGGCAGUUAAGUCAGUGGUGAAAUCCCCGAGCUUAACUUGGGAACUGCCGUUGAUACUAUCUGUCUUGAAUAUUGUGGAGGUGAGCGGAAUAUGUCAUGUAGCGGUGAAAUGCUUAGAUAUGACAUAGAACACCAAUUGCGAAGGCAGCUCGCUACACAUAUAUUGACUCUGAGGCACGAAAGCGUGGGGAUCAAACAGG
rnacentral:rRNA from 1 species